rnacentral:sRNA from 1 species
GAUGAUUAUAUAACCGGGCUGGACAAUA